rnacentral:rRNA from 1 species
AUUGAACGCUGGCGGCAGGCCUAACACAUGCAAGUCGAGCGAGCGGAGGACGGGUGAGUCAUGUCUGGGAAACUGCCUGAUGGAGGGGGAUAACUACUGGAAACGGUAGCUAAUACCGCAUAACAUCAGAUGUGCCCCGGUGUGAUUAGCUAGUAGGUUGGGUAACGGAUCACAUAGACGACGAUCCCUAGCUGGUCUGCGAGGAUGACCAGCCAAACUGGAACGGAGACACGGUGCCGACUCUUCAGGUAGGCAGCAGUGGGGAAUAUGGCACAAUGGGCGAAAGCCUGAUGCAGCCAUGCCGCGUGUGUGAAGAAGGACUUCGGGUUGUAAAGCACUUUCAGCGGGGAGGCGUUACCCGCAGAAGAAGCACCGGCUAACUCCGUGCCAGCAGCCGCGGUAAUUC